UACGUAGGGGGGCUAGCGUUGUCCGGAAUCCAUUGGGCGUAAAGCGCGUGUAGGCGGUCCGGUAAGUCCGCUGUGAAAGUCGGGGGGCUCAACCCUCGGAUGCCGGUGGAUACUGUCGGGCUUGAGUACGGAAGAGGCGAGUGGAAUUCCUGGUGUAGCGGUGAAAUGCGCAGAUAUCAGGAGGAACACCAAUGCGAAGGCAGCUCGCUGGACGUUACUGACGCUGAGACGCGAAAGCGUGGGGAGCAAACAGG
rnacentral:rRNA from 1 species